rnacentral:rRNA from 1 species
AUUGAACGCUGGCGGAAUGCUUUACACAUGCAAGUCGAGCGGCAGCGCGGGGCAACCUGGCGGCGAGCGGCGAACGGGUGAGUAACAUAUCGGAACGUACCCAGUCGUGGGGGAUAACUAUCCGAAAGGAUAGCUAAUACCGCAUACGACCUGAGGGUGAAAGCGGGGGACCGAAAGGCCUCGCGCGAUUGGAGCGGCCGAUAUCGGAUUAGCUAGUUGGUGAGGUAAAGGCUCACCAAGGCGACGAUCCGUAGCUGGUCUGAGAGGACGACCAGCCACACUGGAACUGAGACACGGUCCAGACUCCUACGGGAGGCAGCAGUGGGGAAUUUUGGACAAUGGGGGCAACCCUGAUCCAGCCAUUCCGCGUUGAGUGAAGAAGGCC